rnacentral:rRNA from 1 species
CUACGGGCUGCUCCAGUGGGGAAUAUUGGACAAUGGGUGCAAACCUGAUCCAGCAAUGCCGCGUGAGCGAAGAAGGCCUUCGGGUCGUAAAGCUCUGUCAAGAGGGACGAAAAAAGGAUGGAAUAAUACCCAUUCUCUUGACGGUACCUCUAGAGGAAGCACCGGCUAACUCCGUGCCAGCAGCCGCGGUAAUACGGAGGGUGCAAGCGUGUUCGGAAUUACUGGGCGUAAAGCGCGUGUAGGCGGAUGAAGAAGUCGGGUGUGAAAGCCCUGGGCUUAACCCAGGAAUUGCGCCCGAAACCAUUGAUCUUGAGUUCGGUAGAGGUUUGGGGAAUUCCCGGUGUAGAGGUGAAAUUCGUAGAUAUCGGGAGGAACACCAGAGGCGAAGGCGCCAAACUGGGCCGAUACUGACGCUGAGACGCGAAAGUCUGGGGAGCAAACAGGAUUAGAUACCCCUGUAGUC